rnacentral:lncRNA from 1 species
AAUGUUAUCUGGAGGAAUAAUCUAACAUGAAAACGCUGCGCUAUUCCAGCGUGGGAGCAUAAACAAAACCUAAUUGGGCGAGCUCGUGGCGUGCUUUUGGGAUACGAAUGUUUCCUUUGAUCACACUUUAGAGCUUUAUGUACGUUGUUUCUUAAGGCGCCAUGCAUCUAACAACCACAAAUCCUCGGAAGAAAAGCUUGGAUUAAACUAUCAUUUCGUUCGCUCCACGAAUGAUGAUAUAUAAG